GUUUGUAGACUUUUUUUUUUGGAAGAUCUCUUGCGAUCCCUCUUCCUCUUCCUCCUCAGUUCUUCUUCAGUAAUGGUGAUCAUUACUGAAACGAUUCCAUUCUCUCUAAAUCUCCGCUACUCUGGAUAAUUGAUUCUGCUCUUUACACCUUCCUUCAAGAUGUAUCCUUUCACUUCCUUUUUUGUUUUACUCAUAUAUAAUCUCUUUCUCGAUUCUUCUAUAUACCUUAAUCUACAACCUCCUCGGACCAUGAUCAAGCUAUGGCCAUGAGAUCUGCUAAAUCCUCUGAAAAGUCUCCUGUUAAGUGUGAUUUCACAGACAUCUUCUCGGUCCAGCCGACUCAGAGCUAAGCUUUGAGCUUCUCCUUUCCGGACGAACAAUCAUCAUAUCUUUUUAACUUCUUCUUCCAUGAUCUAAAUCUAUUCUGUAAAAUUCUUCACACUAAAAAAAAUCCAACGCAGCAAUGGCUGCAGACAAGUCGAAAUCUACUGUGUCAAUACCACAGGGUUGGUCAUCAGAAUCUAUCUUAUACUCAUUGAGGAAAAAGUAUUAGUUCAUAUUUUUGUCCGUUCUCUGUGGUUUGUAAAAUCUCCUUUGUUGUUUGAACAUCAUCUAGAACGUGUGAUCAAUUCAAUCUUUCCAGGAAUCCAUAUGAUUAUUAACAACGAAAUAUUAGAGCUGGAAUACAAACUUAGUCGUCUUGGAAAGCCUCUGAUACUGAGGGGAAGUUAUGAUCGAAGCGUGUCCAUGGAGUGUAUGGUUUCGCCACUUUAGCUGAAUCAGCAAAUAAACAAAACAAGCAACCAGUAGUUUUUGUGAUGUCACUUUUGCUGAAUCAGCAACCAAACAAAACAAAACAAGCAAAUAUGCCACAGAGAUCUGAAGCUUGAGAACACAAGAUUACUUGUCAAAGAAAGCAGAUGAUCUUAAUGAGAACACCCGGAUGUGUGCUCAUGUGGUGUAACCCUUUAUGUGAUGCUGGUUGGAGCUUACCCAUUUGAGGACCCUAAUGAUCCAAAAAAACUUCAGGAAAACAAUCUAAUGUCUCAAUAAUGUAACAAUUCAAAUAUUCUUCCCGGACUACGUUCACAUAUCUCAGAAAUGCAAACACCUUCUCUCUCGCAUAUUCGUUACAAACCCCACUAAGAGAAUCACGCUUACUUGAAGACUCUGCCAAAGGAGCUGCCAGAGUUGGCUCAAGCUGUGUAUUACAAGAGAGACAACACAAGCUAUUCUCUUCAAAGCGUAGAGGACAUAAUGAAGAUCAUUGGAGAAGCUAGGAAUCCUGCUUCCUCUUCACGUGUUUGAAAAAGCUUGGGAUCAGGUGCUGAGGAAGAAUAUGAAGAGGAUGUUGAAGCGGAAGUGGAAGAAGAAGAAGAGGAAGAGGAAGUAGAAGAUGAAUACGAGAAGCAUGUCAAAGAGGCACAUUCUUUUAUUCAAGAGCAUGUCAUAGAAGCAUAAAAGGAAAAAGAAAAGGUGUUCACCGUUGUUCUUACAAAAGCCAAAGGGAGUAAACUACUUGGUACAUGCUACUUCACUUUUAGAUUUGAUGUCUGAAAACAUUCUUUUCUCAUAACUCUUAACCAAAGUGAAUCAGCAACCAAAAAAACAAGCAAUAGCCGUCUUUUCUAUCUUUCUUCGUGUGUUUCUAUUAUUACCAGGUUCAUGCUACCUUGAUGGAUCUGGUUCACAAGUCUGUGAAUGAGACGGUGGGAUUGAACCAAUACCAAGCUUUGACAUGCAUUUAUGUCAGCUCCACUUUGGAUGCAAAAUUGGAGCAUCUACUGACAUAUAGCAUCCUUCGGGAAGCUUUCUUCAGGAAGUCAAAAUGAGAAUUCGGGGGACAGCUCCACUUUGGAUGCAAAAUUUUCAUGUUGAUUUUUGUCAUGUUCGUCUUCUCACAGACCAUAGACAGGAAGAGGAGGAGCGUUUUGUGAGGGAGCUAUAUUGAGGCAGAGCGGAAGCACAAAGAAGAAGAAGAAUAGGUACUAGAGAGAGCAGAGUGUGAAGGUGGAGAGAGAGAAGCUGCUAGAGUGAGAGUGAGACAAGAUAAGACACUUGCUGUUGGAAACGAACCUGAGAAUGGGUUCUCUGUCUGAACCUCACCAAUCAAACAUCUACACUAUGCGUUUUGGACUUGGGUAUUAGCGAAUAUUUGAGAACAUUCUGAUUUAUGGUACCACAAUGAAAUGCUUAGUGA